GACGAACGCUGGCGGCGUGCUUAACACAUGCAAGUCGAACGGAAAGGCCCUGCUUUUGUGGGGUGCUCGAGUGGCGAACGGGUGAGUAACACGUGAGUAACCUGCCCUUGACUUUGGGAUAACUUCAGGAAACUGGGGCUAAUACCGGAUAGGAGCUCCUGCUGCAUGGUGGGGGUUGGAAAGUUUCGGCGGUUGGGGAUGGACUCGCGGCUUAUCAGCUUGUUGGUGGGGUAGUGGCUUACCAAGGCUUUGACGGGUAGCCGGCCUGAGAGGGUGACCGGCCACAUUGGGUCUGAGAUACGGCCCAGACUCCUACGGGAGGCAGCAGUGGGGAAUAUUGCACAAUGGGCGGAAGCCUGAUGCAGAAACGCCGCGUGCGGGAUGACGGCCUUCGGGUUGUAAACCGCUUUCGCCUGUGACGAAGCGUGAGUGACGGUAAUGGGGAAAGAAGCACCGGCUAACUACGU
rnacentral:rRNA from 1 species